rnacentral:rRNA from 1 species
AGAGUUUGAUCCUGGCUCAGGAUGAACGCUGGCGGCGUGCCUAAUACAUGCAAGUCGAGCGAACGGACGAGAAGCUUGCUUCUCUGAUGUUAGCGGCGGACGGGUGAGUAACACGUGGAUAACCUACCUAUAAGACUGGGAUAACUUCGGGAAACCGGAGCUAAUACCGGAUAAUAUUUUGAACCGCAUGGUUCAAAAGUGAAAGACGGUCUUGCUGUCACUUAUAGAUGGAUCCGCGCUGCAUUAGCUAGUUGGUAAGGUAACGGCUUACCAAGGCAACGAUGCAUAGCCGACCUGAGAGGGUGAUCGGCCACACUGGAACUGAGACACGGUCCAGACUCCUACGGGAGGCAGCAGUAGGGAAUCUUCCGCAAUGGGCGAAAGCCUGACGGAGCAACGCCGCGUGAGUGAUGAAGGUCUUCGGAUCGUAAAACUCUGUUAUUAGGGAAGAACAUAUGUGUAAGUAACUGUGCACAUCUUGACGGUACCUAAUCAGAAAGCCACGGCUAACUACGUGCCAGCAGCCGCGGUAAUACGUAGGUGGCAAGCGUUAUCCGGAAUUAUUGGGCGUAAAGCGCGCGUAGGCGGUUUUUUAAGUCUGAUGUGAAAGCCCACGGCUCAACCGUGGAGGGUCAUUGGAAACUGGAAAACUUGAGUGCAGAAGAGGAAAGUGGAAUUCCAUGUGUAGCGGUGAAAUGCGCAGAGAUAUGGAGGAACACCAGUGGCGAAGGCGACUUUCUGGUCUGUAACUGACGCUGAUGUGCGAAAGCGUGGGGAUCAAACAGGAUUAGAUACCCUGGUAGUCCACGCCGUAAACGAUGAGUGCUAAGUGUUAGGGGGUUUCCGCCCCUUAGUGCUGCAGCUAACGCAUUAAGCACUCCGCCUGGGGAGUACGACCGCAAGGUUGAAACUCAAAGGAAUUGACGGGGACCCGCACAAGCGGUGGAGCAUGUGGUUUAAUUCGAAGCAACGCGAAGAACCUUACCAAAUCUUGACAUCCUUUGACAACUCUAGAGAUAGAGCCUUCCUCUUCGGGGGACAAAGUGACAGGUGGUGCAUGGUUGUCGUCAGCUCGUGUCGUGAGAUGUUGGGUUAAGUCCCGCAACGAGCGCAACCCUUAAGCUUAGUUGCCAUCAUUAAGUUGGGCUGGGCACUCUAAGUUGACUGCCGGUGACAAACCGGAGGAAGGUGGGGAUGACGUCAAAUCAUCAUGCCCCUUAUGAUUUGGGCUACACACGUGCUACAAUGGACAAUACAAAGGGCAGCGAAACCGCGAGGUCAAGCAAAUCCCAUAAAGUUGUUCUCAGUUCGGAUUGUAGUCUGCAACUCGACUACAUGAAGCUGGAAUCGCUAGUAAUCGUAGAUCAGCAUGCUACGGUGAAUACGUUCCCGGGUCUUGUACACACCGCCCGUCACACCACGAGAGUUUGUAACACCCGAAGCCGGUGGAGUAACCUUUUAGGAGCUAGCCGUCGAAGGUGGGACAAAUGAUUGGGGUGAAGUCGUAACAAGGUAGCCGUAUCGGAAGGUGCGGCUGGAUCACCU